UACGUAGGGACCAAGCGUUGUUCGGAUUUACUGGGCGUAAAGGGCGCGUAGGCGGCGUGGCAAGUCAUCUGUGAAAUCUCCGGGCUUAACUCGGAACGGUCAGAUGAUACUGCUGUGCUAGAGUACAGAAGGGGCAAUCGGAAUUCUUGGUGUAGCGGUGAAAUGCGUAGAUAUCAAGAGGAACACCUGAGGUGAAGACGGGUUGCUGGGCUGAUACUGACGCUGAAGCGCGAAAGCUAGGGUAGCAAACGGG
rnacentral:rRNA from 1 species